UACGUAGGGCGCAAGCGUUAUCCGGAAUUAUUGGGCGUAAAGAGCUCGUAGGCGGUUUGUCGCGUCUGCUGUGAAAACCUAAGGCUCAACCUUGGGCUUGCAGUGGGUACGGGCAGACUAGAGUGCGGUAGGGGUGACUGGAAUUCCUGGUGUAGCGGUGGAAUGCGCAGAUAUCAGGAGGAACACCCGAUGGCGAAAGGCAGGUC
rnacentral:rRNA from 1 species